GUUAUAUUUAUUGAUCUAUGUAGUUGUGUUUAUAGAUUUAUGUAGUUAUAUUUAUCUAUCUAUAUAGACAGAGAUUUGUAUAGUUAAUUUAUUUUUAGUUUUAGGUGUAUAUAUUUAUAUUUUUAGAUGUGCAGUUAUAGUUAUAGAUGUCCAUAGUUGCAUUUAUACAUGUGUAUAAUUACAUUUACAUAUAUAUAGUUACAUUUAUAGAUAGGCAUAUUUAUAUUGAUAUAUGGGGGUUUAGUUACAUAGAUUGAUAUCUGUAUAGGUAUAGGGCUGUUUUUAACCUCUUCCCCUGCUCUGCUUCCUCCCUCACCUCUUGCUUUUCCCCCUGUGCCCCCUCUGUCCCCUCUCCCUGUGCUGGGUCCGAGCUGGCGGCCGGGCCGGGUGGAGCAGCAGUUCCAGCCCCGGGUGUCCCUGGAGCGGUGGGAGCUGCCGGUGGCCCCAGGCACUGUCCCCUGAGGAGCUGCUGCAGGACGCUGCAGUGAAGACCUAGAGGACAGCCGGAGACUGACGGGAGCCAGCAGGGAGAAGCUGAAGGCCAGCAGCAAGAGCAGGGAACGGGGACCUGCUGCUGCCACGCUGGAGAGAGCCCGGCUGUGCCAUCUGCUGUCCCUGUCCAGGAGAGCUGCUCUGCACAGGAGGAAGAGACCGAGGGAGAGGCUUUGAAGAUGGGGCAGCUGAGAUCCCUCUGCUUGCAGUUCUGUUUAGAGAUACAUGGACUUGCACAUAGACAGUGAUAAUUACAUAGAUAUUUACAUAUGGAUGUUGCCAUUUGUAUGGGUUUUUUUCUAUAUGUCUGUUGUACUAUUUAUGGGUGUAUGCUCUGUAUAUAUUUGUAUAUAUAUAUACAUAUAUGUUUGUGAUUACAUAUAUGUGUAUAUAUGUAUCUAAGUAUACAGGUAUGUUGUUUCAUCUGUGUUUAGUUCUAUUUCCUAUGUAUGCAGUUUUGUUGCUAUUUAUGUCUAUUGAUGCAGUCAUAGAUCUAUGGAUCUUUAAAUAGGUACAUUGGUAUUUGUAUUGGUAGAUGUGUCUAUUUUCAUACCUUCAUAUGUAUAUUGAUCCAUUUCCGUGUGUAAUUAUUUUUACGUAUGUAUCCAGAUGUAUAGCUGUAUAUUUGUAUUGCUGUACAAAUAUCCAUUUGUAUGGAUAUUUAUCUUGGCACAGUGAUAUUUGUAAAUUCUAUAUCUCUUUAUAUAUAUAUAUGUUCUAUAUCUCUUUAUAUAUAUAUAUAUAUAUAUGUUCUAUAUCUCUUUAUAUAUAUAUUGUAUAUAAUAUGUAAUAUUUAAUCUAUAUUUACGUCUAUUGUUAUAUAUGUGUUUAUAUAUAUGUGUGUGUAUAUAUGUAUUUAGUUCUAUUUGCACAUGUAUGGCGAUCUAUAGUUGUAUAAUUCUCUCAGUUGAGUUCUUGGUACAAGGUUGCUUGGGGAGGGAAUGCAUAUUUCUAUAUUUCUAUAUGGGCUGUUUGCUUGUAGGAUUAUGUAAUAAAUUAAGUUGUUAAACACUUAA